rnacentral:lncRNA from 1 species
CUUACUUCCAAGCCUGCUGAUUUGAAUUUGAUAUUGGAAGGAAGAAAGUAGUUCUGGCAAGUAUCUUCUGAUCUCCACAGGCAUGGUCCUCCACCCAUAUGAAUAAAAAAAAAAGUUAUCUAGUGUUUGUUAUUGACUAGUUAUGAGGGGACAAUUCAGAAAAGAAAGGGAAUGUACGAGUAGCAAAGAACAUGUAAAUUUAAGAGCUUCAGAAAAUGACUACACUGCAUACAUUUCGGUUGCUGUGAUAAAACACUAUGACCAGAAGCAGCCUGAAGAAGAAAGAGUUCAGUUUGGCUUAUGGUUCCGGAAGGAUAAGAGUCCAUCAAGGCAGGAAGACUUAGCACUGGGCAGCGGGCAUGGCAGCCAGAGCAGGAAGCUGAGUGCUCUUAUCUUUAACUUCAUACUACAAGCACGAAGCAGAAAGCAAACUUGAUGUGGGGUGAAAUUACAAACAUCCAAAGCCCAACUCUGGUGUAUUUCAUCCAGCAAAAGUACAUCUCAACCCCUCAACCAGUGCUACCCACUGGGAACCACUUGUUCUGAACCCAUAGGGCAUUUCUGGAACAUGGAAGUCACUCCGAUUAGUGCUGCCCUCAACAUUAGCUGGAGAAACCUCUCUAUACAGUUGCCCAGUGGUCAAUUAAGAGAUUUCUAAUUCGUCAAAGAGCUGAGGGUGAGAACAGUGCUCAACUCUAAAUGGGACAGCUAUAUCUACCCUACCUGAAGCUCGGGAAACACUGAAAAGGCUAUCACAGGUAAAAUUUACCUUUUGUUUCCGAAGAGACUCUGCACUUCUAAACAGUGUUGGAACUGUUAAAAAGCACGGGGGCUUUUGACGUUGGAUUGAACACGUUUUACACUAUGAGAUGGCCAGGAGCCUGUGGUGACAAGAAGUAGAAGGUUAUGGGCUAAAAGCAGCAUUCUGAGGUGUCAAGUUGACAAAGGAUAGACUUAGGAAGUUUGACAGAAUCAAGAAUCCUCUAGGAGACAAACUCGGACAUGUCUGUCUCCCUUUGGAGGGAAGACUCAUCUUAAAUGUGCACACCACCAUCCCAAGGACCAGGGGCUCAUAUUACAUGGAAGAAGGACCCAUGCUGAGCUUCAGCCUUCAUUCCUUUAAGCUUCCCGGCCAUGAACACAAUGUGACUUAUGCUCUGGCUGACAUGACUUUUUGACCACGGUGCACCCUUGAGCUGUGACCCAAAAUAAACCCUUUCUCCCUUAAGUUGCUUUUGUCAGAAUUCUUCUGCAGCAACGGAAGUAACCGAGGUCAAAGGCAUAAGUAGUAUUAGCAUUUGCUUUACACUGUUUUGUUUAGAUUAAGGCUAUAUCUCAGUUAGCAGAACAUUUGUGCAAGAAUCACAAGAGAAGCCUAGAGUUUCCUCUCUAGUCUUGGAGGUGGGGAGCAACCAAAAGGGUGACACUUCACUCUUACUUCAUUUUUCCCAAGAAUGCCUUUUUUGUAUCUUUAAAGAAAAUUCUUUCUUUAUAAAGAUAUCUUUCUUGACACCUCCUAGAAGUCCACUGGUGUAUAUAAAGAAAAUAGCUUCAAAGCCCACAUUAUGCAUCAGAGUAUGGGUUAAAAGUGUUUUAAAGACUCACAUUUAUAGAUCCUUUUUAACCAAAGUAAAAAAUUCAACCAAAUGGUUCAUCUAAGAGUUUUAUCCUUGUUUUGUGAAUUUUGAAAAAGGAAUAAAAAUGUGUAUUUGCUGCAAUAUAGAUUCACUCUACAAAUUUUCACUCUAAAAAAAUUACAUGUUUUAUGAAUUUUCUUCUAUUUCUUUCUUUUCUUUUGAGAAAAGGUCU